CUUGAGAGAGCCGAGCCACAGCGGCUUGUCCUCGUCGCGGUCCUGGCCGUAGGUGGCGAGGACGGCCUGGGCCUC
rfam:Actinobacteria bacterium OV450 ctg107, whole genome shotgun sequence.